UACGUAGGGUGCAAGCGUUAAUCGGAAUUACUGGGCGUAAAGCGCACGUAGGCGGAUCGUUAAGUCGGGGGUGGAAUCCUGGAGCUCAACUCCAGAACUGCCUUCGAUACUGGCGAGCUCGAGUUCGGGAGAGGUGAGUGGAACUGCGAGUGUAGAGGUGAAAUUCGUAGAUAUUCGCAAGAACACCAGUGGCGAAGGCGGCUCACUGGCCCGAUACUGACGCUGAGGUGCGAAAGCGUGGGGAGCAAACAGG
rnacentral:rRNA from 1 species